UAAAAUACUUUGCCAGUUAGUCCUGAUA
rnacentral:piRNA from 1 species